GACGAACGCUGGCGGCGUGCCUAAUACAUGCAAGUCGAACGAACUCUGGUAUUGAUUGGUGCUUGCAUCAUGAUUUACAUUUGAGUGAGUGGCGAACUGGUGAGUAACACGUGGGAAACCUGCCCAGAAGCGGGGGAUAACACCUGGAAACAGAUGCUAAUACCGCAUAACAACUUGGACCGCAUGGUCCGAGUUUGAAAGAUGGCUUCGGCUAUCACUUUUGGAUGGUCCCGCGGCGUAUUAGCUAGAUGGUGGGGUAACGGCUCACCAUGGCAAUGAUACGUAGCCGACCUGAGAGGGUAAUCGGCCACAUUGGGACUGAGACACGGCCCAAACUCCUACGGGAGGCAGCAGUAGGGAAUCUUCCACAAUGGACGAAAGUCUGAUGGAGCAACGCCGCGUGAGUGAAGAAGGGUUUCGGCUCGUAAAACUCUGUUGUUAAAGAAGAACAUAUCUGAGAGUAACUGUUCAGGUAUUGACGGUAUUUAACCAGAAAGCCACGGCUAACUACGUGCCAGCAGCCGCGGUAAUACGUAGGUGGCAAGCGUUGUCCGGAUUUAUUGGGCGUAAAGCGAGCGCAGGCGGUUUUUUAAGUCUGAUGUGAAAGCCUUCGGCUCAACCGAAGAAGUGCAUCGGAAACUGGGAAACUUGAGUGCAGAAGAGGACAGUGGAACUCCAUGUGUAGCGGUGAAAUGCGUAGAUAUAUGGAAGAACACCAGUGGCGAAGGCGGCUGUCUGGUCUGUAACUGACGCUGAGGCUCGAAAGUAUGGGUAGCAAACAGGAUUAGAUACCCUGGUAGUCCAUACCGUAAACGAUGAAUGCUAAGUGUUGGAGGGUUUCCGCCCUUCAGUGCUGCAGCUAACGCAUUAAGCAUUCCGCCUGGGGAGUACGGCCGCAAGGCUGAAACUCAAAGGAAUUGACGGGGGCCCGCACAAGCGGUGGAGCAUGUGGUUUAAUUCGAAGCUACGCGAAGAACCUUACCAGGUCUUGACAUACUAUGCAAAUCUAAGAGAUUAGACGUUCCCUUCGGGGACAUGGAUACAGGUGGUGCAUGGUUGUCGUCAGCUCGUGUCGUGAGAUGUUGGGUUAAGUCCCGCAACGAGCGCAACCCUUAUUAUCAGUUGCCAGCAUUAAGUUGGGCACUCUGGUGAGACUGCCGGUGACAAACCGGAGGAAGGUGGGGAUGACGUCAAAUCAUCAUGCCCCUUAUGACCUGGGCUACACACGUGCUACAAUGGAUGGUACAACGAGUUGCGAACUCGCGAGAGUAAGCUAAUCUCUUAAAGCCAUUCUCAGUUCGGAUUGUAGGCUGCAACUCGCCUACAUGAAGUCGGAAUCGCUAGUAAUCGCGGAUCAGCAUGCCGCGGUGAAUACGUUCCCGGGCCUUGUACACACCGCCCGUCACACCAUGAGAGUUUGUAACACCCAAAGUCGGUGGGGUAACCUUUUAGGAACCAGCCGCCUAAGGUGGGACAGAUGAUUAGGGUGAAGUCGU
rnacentral:rRNA from 2 species